AAAAAAUUGGGUGAGGAAGAAGAGGUUGCCAGGCCACACCUAAGCCAACACUUAUCAAAAGUAAGUAGCCAUUUUCCUGGCAGAGAAGUGAGAGGAAAAAGGAGUCGCUCCCGUGCCCCCAUACCAGGAGCAGAUGUGCGACAGCCUGAGAUAUCCAGAGGAAGGGGCAGAAGGAGGGACAGGUCCCCGUGGCAGGAGAGGAAGCCAACACGCUGCUGACAGCCACGGAUGCAGGAACCCGAAGCAGUCCCGAGAUCAUCAGCGCCAUGGCAACGGCAGGAGAAACAAACGGCAGGCUGGCUGGCUGAAGGGUACGGGAGGCUGUUUGUUUCCCAUAGUGUUAUUUUAAUAGGUGGGGAUGGCGGUGACGGGCUGGGGAACAGCAGGGCUUUGAUGGCACCUGAGAUGACUUGAAGUGCUCCCAGGCAUUGGGAGAGGUUGGCACUUGGAUCACGUCCCCAGCUGGGGACUCCCGCGGGUUCAGGAUCUCCUGCUGCAACCAUCCCCUGUUCCCUGAUCUGCCAGGAGGUCUGGCCCCGUGGCCAGGGUCCCCCGCCCGAGGUCACGCAGCCCUGGGCUGGAGAGCCCUGGGUUAUGCCCUUCCUGACGGGUGACGGGGGCCAAUUCCACCUGCAAAGUGCGUCCUAGGUUCACGGAUUUGCUCAGAAUUGAAGGAGGCUUCACUGAGCCCCGCCUGUGAGCCGGCUGCAAAAGGUCCUGGGAUUCACUCUGCUUGGAACCCGGGGAAGACACAGAGAAUACACCGCGAGCACGCAAAUAAACAGGAGCGACAAUUUUAGAUCGUUUUCUGUGCUAAGAAAGGUUUAAAACUGAGGGAGUCCUGUGUGCAUGCCGGCGGACCACAGAGGGACUAGGAAGGGGCCGGCUGCUUAUGUGCCAAGGGUGAGGGGCACUUUCCAGGCAGGACAAGAAGAGAGGUCCUGGAGGGUCUCCGAGUGAGAAUUUGCAGCUGGAGCGUCAUAAAGGGAGCUACAGGGAAAAUUCAAACCAAAAAGAGAAGCCGGGUCUGGAGAGACCCAAGGCGAGGCUUGGAGUUUGGGUUAUAAUUAUAAUAAUAACCUCUCCAGGUGUUUGUGAGGAUUCAGUGAAUUCGCAAAUGGUGAACUCUAAGCAGCUGCAUAAAAAUGUUCCCUUUUACUCCCCGUGGGCUGCUCUAGAGAACCCGUCUCUUAGGCAUGAAGCUGACACCAUCACUGAAUUGCAGAACUAAGGAGAUUGUUUUUUCUAAUUAUUCCACUUUUUGAAAUGGUGAAUUAAGGAUCAGAGAGGGCAAGGGGGCUUACAGAAUUCACACAGGAGUCAGCAGGGGAAGCUCUAGACUUCUUACCCUCUACCCGCUGUGCAUUGGGCUCUUGAACUUCAGCCCACGCCAGAAUCUCUAAGGGGAAAUUUCUUGGCUUCUGUUCUGCUGGUGCUGGGCAGUGCUCCCUUUGGGGUGGGGAUUGAAAAUGGUGUGGGAUCAUGGAAAACCCUAGACAUCGUGCUUUUUGGUCUGAGGCUUCUCCCUUUGAGCCUCAGGAGGUCCACAGACAUUUGUCCUCUUAGCCCUCCCUCUUCUGUCCUCCUGGACACAGAAUCUGGGCUUUGGCUGGGAAGCUGGGAAGAAGGAUUGGACGUUGAUUAGCAGGGACCCCCCCCACACACACACACACUGCCUGGCCUGUUCGGAAUUCCAUAUGGAAGAGAGUGGCAAGGUCUGAGAGAAAGGCGAGGGGCUAAAGAAUGUUUCUGGAAUUGAACAGAACAGCGCUGUCUCGGUUAAUUCCGCAGGAAGCAAGCCACAUGAAAAAUGGGCUAGAUUGACUGAGUCCCUGACGGGGCUGGAAGUUUAACUUAUUUGGUCCCUUUAGCCCCAGCUGGGCUUUCUCCUGGCUGUGGCUAUACACGAAGAUACUUAAUAAACCCUAGGAGAGAAGA